rnacentral:lncRNA from 1 species
GUGGAUUCCUAGACUGCCUCCCUGCUUCGCAGCUUCCCACCUGGCCAAGUGACGCUGCACCAAUCCCGUUCCAGUUGCUCCUGGGCCCCUUCUUGCACCGCCCCACUCCUCACUCUCAAAGAGGUGCAUCCAGCCAGGACAGACACUGCGGUCUCGCCUUCGAGCACCCUUUUAGCUUCUGUGUCUCCGGGACUGACUUUCAAACUCUUCUCUCGCCUUAGGCAAACUCGCUUUCCCCGUUCCCGCCCCUCAAACUCCUGCUCCCUCCACUCCUAGCUCUUUUCCCCUCCACUUUCCUCCCCUCUAUCUCCCAAGCCACAAACCGAUCCCCACUAUUUUCUCCCGCUCUCCCACUUUCCCUCUCCAGACUUCAACUUCUUGUUUGAUUCCACCUCAGACUCCGGGAGCGCGCCCGACUCAGUUGCUGCGCUCAGCUCCCUUUCUUGAAGUCAUGGCGGGACCUGGGGGCUGGAGAGAUAAGGAAGUCACAGAUCUCGGCCACUUGCCGGAUCCAACUGGAAUAUUCUCACUAGAUAAGACCAUUGGCCUUGGUACUUAUGGACGGAUCUAUUUGGUAAGCGGAGCUAGAUUAUUCAUUCUUUAUU